rnacentral:rRNA from 1 species
UACGUAGGGACCGAGCGUUGUCCGGAUUCAUUGGGCGUAAAGAGCUCGUAGGCGGCCACUCAAGUCGAAUGUGAAACCUCGAGGCUUAACCUCGAGCCUGCAUUCGAUACUGGGCGGCUAGAGUCUGGUAGGGGGAUCUGGAAUUCCUGGUGUAGCGGUGGAAUGCGCAGAUAUCAGGAGGAACACCAGUAGCGAAGGCGGCUCGCUGGGCCACACCUGACGCUGAGACGCGAAAGCUAGGGGAGCGAACAGG